rnacentral:rRNA from 1 species
GACGAACGCUGGCGGCGUGCUUAACACAUGCAAGUCGAGCGGUAAGGCCCUUCGGGGUACACGAGCGGCGAACGGGUGAGUAACACGUGGGUGAUCUGCCCUGUACUUCGGGAUAAGCCUGGGAAACUGGGUCUAAUACCGGAUAUGACCUUACAUCGCAUGGUGUUUGGUGGAAAGAUUUAUCGGUACAGGAUGGGCCCGCGGCCUAUCAGCUUGUUGGUGGGGUAAUGGCCUACCAAGGCGACGACGGGUAGCCGGCCUGAGAGGGCGACCGGCCACACUGGGACUGAGACACGGCCCAGACUCCUACGGGAGGCAGCAGUGGGGAAUAUUGCACAAUGGGCGAAAGCCUGAUGCAGCGACGCCGCGUGAGGGAUGACGGCCUUCGGGUUGUAAACCUCUUUCGACAGGGACGAAGCGCAAGUGACGGUACCUGUAGAAGAAGCACCGGCCAACUACGUGCCAGCAGC